rnacentral:rRNA from 1 species
UAUUGGACAAUGGGCGAAAGCCUGAUCCAGCAAUACCGCGUGUGUGAAGAAGGCCUUAGGGUUGUAAAGCACUUUCAAUUGGGAGGAAAACCUACCGGUCAAUACCCGGUAGCUUGACAUUACCUUUAGAAGAAGCGCCGGCUAACUCCGUGCCAGCAGCCGCGGUAAUACGGAGGGUGCGAGCGUUAAUCGGAAUUACUGGGCGUAAAGCGUGCGUAGGCGGUUCGUUAAGUCAGAUGUGAAAGCCCUGGGCUCAACCUGGGAACGGCAUUUGAAACUGGCGGACUAGAGUUUAGUAGAGGGGAGUGGAAUUUCAGGUGUAGCGGUGAAAUGCGUAGAUAUCUGAAGGAACACCAGUGGCGAAGGCGACUCCCUGGACUAGAACUGACGCUGAGUACGAAA